AUUGAACGCUGGCGGCAGGCCUAACACAUGCAAGUCGAGCGGAUGAAGGGAGCUUGCUCCUUGAUUCAGCGGCGGACGGGUGAGUAAUGCCUAGGAAUUGCCUGGUAGUGGGGGACAACGUUUCGAAAGGAACGCUAAUACCGCAUACGUCCUACGGGAGAAAGUGGGGGAUCUUCGGACCUCACGCUAUCAGAUGAGCCUAGGUCGGAUUAGCUAGUUGGUGGGGUAAAGGCCUACCAAGGCGACGAUCCGUAACUGGUCUGAGAGGAUGAUCAGUCACACUGGAACUGAGACACGGUCCAGACUCCUACGGGAGGCAGCAGUGGGGAAUAUUGGACAAUGGGCGAAAGCCUGAUCCAGCCAUGCCGCGUGUGUGAAGAAGGUCUUCGGAUUGUAAAGCACUUUAAGUUGGGAGGAAGGGCAGUAAGUUAAUACCUUGCUGUUUAGACGUACCG
rnacentral:rRNA from 1 species